rnacentral:rRNA from 1 species
AACCCUUAGCUCGUCGUUGAUGGGAAGACGACGCAAAAGCAAACGCGGCGGCGUCGUGCAGAAUCCCAGGACACAUGAGGAGGAUCGCUCAGUCGCGUUGGCGGCGGCAGAGGCGGCGGCGGAUGAGGCCCGUUCUGCGGCGGACUUGUGCCCCUACUGCCGAACCUGCCGGUCUCGCGUUGGGCCUGGCGGCGGCGGCCCCUGCCCCUGUUCCGACACCACCUCCGCCCAACCGUCUGCCCCCUCGCGCGGUAGCGCCGUCCCCGCCCAACCGUGCCAGGAUCAUGUGGCCGAGCCUCCAUCCGCACGGGCUCAGCCGCAACCGUCUGUCUCGUACUUGAGCAUCUUGCUCGGCACUACAACACUCAAGGACACUGCCACUUCCUCAUCCUCCCCACAGGCUGUAGCUGAGACCCCGCCACCCAAGCCAACCAUUUAUGUCAACGACCCUCCUGAUUGGUACUUCAGUAUUUACAUCAGGAUCGAUCGUUCAGGAUCUUUCCACACAUAUCCUCAUCUUGGUGGACCAUUCAAGAGCUUGCAGGAAGUUGAAAAGGCUAUUGAGAGCUAUCUUCAUGACAAGCGGCAUAAAACACUGUGGAACGAGCAAGCUGGGGAUUCUGGCAUGGACAUGGUUAUAAAAAAAGGCUCUUUACUGGCCUGAUGGCAGAACAAGGAAAUGUUCAGAUAAGGAAGUAGUGGAUCAUACCCGUGAGCAAAUGAGUUUAAUGCUUCAAGCUUUACUGGACAAGUAUAAUGAGGAUCACAAUCUUGUUGGGGAUCUUGCGUACGAAUUCAAGGAUUUUUUGCACUAUCAAUCAAUUUGUGAAGACUAUAAGUGGUUCAAGCAUUUCAAUUUCACUACAAAGACUAAAGACGGAAUUGAGGAUCUUUUCUUUGCUGAAGUGAUAGAGGGAACUGAUGAUGAAUUAGUGGCCAACUGUUUCUGCAAGAUUGAAUCCAAUGAAAAUGGCCACUGCUAUGGUUGCAUAAAUCAUGGAUUUAUUGAUAUGAAGCACCCCAACAAGGCUGAUGCAUACGCUGGUGGUCACUUGAACGUAUAUUUGCCAUUUGGUGGGUGUAGAAGACGUCCUAACACGUGGACAGGCUCUAAGGAAGAUGUGGCAGCUGAGGAAGCUAGGCUGAGAUACAUCUACUGUAUACGAUGAUUAGAAGUUAUUUAUCAUAUUUUUAUCGUGCUAGUUGUUGGAGUUGUGGUGGAAGUAAGCAACCAUUUUUAUUGUUUGUGGUGUGUAUUAUCGUGUUAGUUGUUGGAGUUGUGUUAUGUUUACUUGGCACAGCUCAGUGCUCCUUGUUGCUACCCUCACUCUUGUAGAAGUUAUUUAUCAAGUACUCCCUCUGUCCCAAAAUAAGUGUCUCAACUUUGUACUAGCUCUAGUACAAAUUUGUACUAAUAAGCUCAAGACACUUAUUUUAGGACGGAGGGAGUAUGAAUUAUGGCAUCUGGUUAUUAUCCUUUUGUUGUUCCGUGCUGCAGUUGUUACCUCGCUCUAUGAGACAUACUAGAGUGACCAUCGUCAAGAUAACAUUUUGCUUUCUGUUCCUUGUAUGCAAUCUCCAUUGUUUGCUCUCCUUUCUAACAAGUGUCACCAUGAGUUUCACGGCAAAGAACGAGUAGCGAGCUGCGCUAAAACUACAUGGAUCAUAACUUGAUAGAUGACAAGCAUCAAACAGGCAAGAUCGGAUCACUGGC